rnacentral:rRNA from 1 species
CCUACGGGAGGCAGCAGUCGAGAAUCAUUCACAAUGGGGGAAACCCUGAUGGUGCGACGCCGCGUGGGGGAAUGAAGGUCUUCGGAUUGUAAACCCCUGUCAUGUGGGAGCAAAUUAAAAAGAUAGUACCACAAGAGGAAGAGACGGCUAACUCUGUGCCAGCAGCCGCGGUAAUACAGAGGUCUCAAGCGUUGUUCGGAAUCACUGGGAGUAAAGCGUGCGUAGGCUGUUUCGUAAGUCGUGUGUGAAAGGCGAGGGCUCAACCCGCGGACGGCACAUGAUACUGCGAGACUAGAGUAAUGGAGGGGGAACCGGAAUUCUCGGUGUAGCAGUGAAAUGCGUAGAUAGCGAGAGGAACACUCGUGGCGAAGGCGGGUUCCUGGACAUUAACUGACGCUGAGGCACGAAGGCCAGGGGAGCGAAAGGGAUUAGAUACCCUUGUAGUC